AUGGUGAAACGGAUCCGGGGUGACCGCAGGGACACUCCCAGGGGCAGGUGGGGACGCCACUCCAGCAGGCACAUACACAUAUGGCCCCCUCCCAGGCCCGUCUCCGCACCGCAGGAGCAAGUGGCGCAGUUAUGCUCGGAGCUGCGUAAAGCGCUCUCACCUUUGCUAACCCAGCCUACAUCCAGAGAGCUACCUAAACAGCAGAGGAGGCCACGGCAGAAGCGACCAACGGUGACCUCGCCGCGCCGGUGUGUGAGGCUGGCAAAGGGUGGGAGGGGCUCCAAGGCUUCAAAGCAACAGGCGGUGUUGAUCCGGAAGCUUUGCCUAGCCAAUGAAGGGAACCAGAUCGAUGAUGACGCACUGCAAGCCUACGUCAAAUUGUUCGAUAAGCCGUUGCUUGACUGCCAUGUGAGGGCGAUCUGGGCACUGUUUGGGUGGGAUGCUUCGGUGCUGCCCUUGCAGUGCGAGGAGGCAGGAGGGGCCGAGGGCCAGUAG
rnacentral:rRNA from 1 species